GACUCUCGGCAAUGGAUAUCUCGGCUCUCGCAUCGAUGAAGAGCGCAGCGAAAUGCGAUACGUGGUGCGAAUUGCAGAAUCCCGCGAACC
rnacentral:rRNA from 2 species